UUACUUAUAGCCUUGUUUGCUGCUCUUUAAUUUCAUUCUUUGUCAUUACUGUGAAAUUAUGUAUACCACAAAACAGUUUUGCUUCAUGGAAUUUUUUUAAUCUGUUGAACACAAAACAUAAACAAAAAGAAGAAAUAAACUCAUUAUUUUCAUUAAUUUUACAAAGUAAACAAUUUGUUUGGAUUCGCGCGAGCAUAUUCACACAGCGCUGACUCGUGAGUGCAGUGCACGUUUUUGAAUUCCAACGGUCGAGAAGAGAUUGAUCCCCGUCUGCUGAUUUAAAUGUUCUGACGGAAAUAUUGUUGUGCGGAUUUACACUAAAACACGAAAGAGCCUGAACCGCGACAGUGUCAAAAGUUGCCUUACAUCGUAAACAGUGAGGCCCUGACCGGGGUGAAGGGAAAACUGCAUGAGCUUGUGAGCCAGGGAGGUUUUGGAGGACAUCCAGUCUGUGCCUGCUAAAAAUGACGGCACUGGAGCUCUGCAAAACAUCUGAGCCGUCCACCUUAUUCACAUGAUUCAUCUGAAUGGGAUUCAGAAGCAGAUGGCAAAGAAAGCAGCAAGUCAUGCGAGUUUGGAGCAACAUGAGGAAACUCAUCGAGAACGCUGGCCACACACUGACUGUACUGUGUGGUGUGAAGACCAUGCCCGAGUCAUUUCCGCUCAUCAGUUUCAAUCUGUCAAAAACCACCGGACACUCCAAGCCGACCCAAGUUCAGUCACAUGAGGCUCUCACUACAAGUGUUCAGAUAUAAACACUGUGUUUUUAUGGGCUGAGAGUCGAGGCUAUGCCAGAUAGACGUAUUCUUCCCUGAAAACUGAUUCAUUUGAACAUAAAAUAACAAUUUUGCACAUGCAAUUCUUUAGAAGAGAAGUUUUGCUUUGUUUCAGUUGCACGGUCUUGUUUUCUCUCACAGAUCAAACUUCCUUGAAUUAGAAAAACAAAUAAGAAUCAUGUGAACACAAGAAAACUGGAACCACUUUACAAUCCAUUUAUAAUCAUUAGUUAACAACAUGAGUUACCAUUAACUAAGAUGAAAGAAUGCUGUUGAAGUUUUG